CGCGGCACGUUAAUAUCUCUAUGUAAACCCGACGUGUGGGCCUUUCUUCCGUAUUUCCUGAUAACCCCCUGCAGAAAUAGACAAACACCAAAACUUGUGGAAUUCUGUCAGAUAAAACCCUAAGUCUAGGUGUUGGUUGCAUUUGGAUCGUUUUCUAUGAUUAGUUGAUGGUUAAAUGUGAGCAUUAAGGACCGUCAACAGCACUGAUCAGAUUAUUUGCAACAUCACCUUGUGUAUUGAGCAUAUAAGGAUAAUUGUAAAAAUAUUCCUUCAGGUAUUCUUGUCACUAACCUUUCUAGGAUUGGAGCAAGU
rnacentral:lncRNA from 1 species